CAGCCGUAAACUAUGCGCGUUAGGUGUAUCGGUGACCACGAGUUACCGAGGUGCCGAAGGGAAACCGUGAAACGUGCCGCCUGGGAAGUACGGUCGCAAGGCUGAAACUUAAAGGAUUGGCGGGGGAGCACCACAACAGGUGGAGCCUGCGGUUUAAUUGGACUCAACGCCGGGAAGCUCACCGGAUAGGACAGCAGAAUGAUUGCCGGGCUGAAGACCCUGCAUGACUAGCUGAGAGGUGGUGCAUGGCGUCAGUGACU
rnacentral:rRNA from 1 species